GCGGCGUGCUUAAGGUAUGCAAGUCGAACGAUUUUUUUGUUCCAACGCAAGGCGGAACUUUUAAGUAGUGGCGAACGGCUGAGUAACACGUAGGAAUCUACCUCUAUCCCGGAAAUAAUUCGCCGAAAGGCGGACUAAUGUCCGAUGUGAAGGAAACUUUAAAGAUUUAUCGGUUAGAGAUGAGCCUGCGGCCUAUCAGUUAGUUGGUGGGGUAAUAGCCUACCAAGACUAUGACGGGUACCUGGUCUGAGAGGAUGUCCAGGCAGAGGGGCACUGAGAUACGGGCCUCACUCCUACGGGAGGCAGCAAUCGGGAAUUUUGCACAAUGGACGAAAGUCUGAUGCAGCGACGCCGCGUGAAGGAUGAAUGCCUUCGGGUUGUAAACUUCUGAAAAUAGUACCGGCUAACUACGUGCCAGCAGCAGCGGUCAUACGUAGGGUACAAGCAUUAUCCGGAUUUAUUGGGCGUAAAGAGUUCUGUAGGUGGCUUUGUAAGUCAAAAGUGAAAUACUUCAGCCUAACUGGAGAAACGCUUUUGAUACUGUAAGGCUUGAGGUAAUUAGGGGGUAGCGGAACAUAUGGAGGAGCGGUGAUAUGCGUUGAUUUCAUAUGGAACACCAAGGGGGAAGCCAGCUACCUGGGAUUAUCCUGACACUGAGAGACGAAAGCGUGGGGAGCAAAACGGAUUAGAUACCCGUGUAGUCCACGCUGUAAACAAUGUCUGCUAGAUACCUGAGUCUUUGGGUGUCGAAGCUAACGCGUUAAGCAGACCGCCUGGGGAGUACGGUCGCAAGACUAAAACUCAAAGGAAUUGGCGGGGACCCGCACAAGCGGUGGAGCAUGCUCUUUAAUUGGCUGAUAACCCAAAAACCUUACCCAGAUUUGACAUGCAGAUGCAAACUUGAUGAAAGUCGAGUUGCCUUCGAGGGUUCUGCACAGGUGUUGCAUGGCUGUCGUCAGUUCGUACCGUGAGGCGUACCCUUCAGUGGGUCAACGAACGCAACCCCUAUUGUCAGUUGUAUCACUCUGACGAAACUGCCGUCGUAAGGCGGAGGAAGGUGGGGACGACGUCAAGUCGGUAUUGCCUUUAUGUCUGGGGCUAGAAGCAUGCUACAAUGGCGCGUACAACGGGCUGCAACACAGCGAUGUGAAGCCAAUCCCUUAAAACGCGUCUCAGUUCGGAUUGGAGUCUGCAAUUCGACUCCAUGAAGUUGGAAUCGCUAGUAAUCGGUGGU
rnacentral:rRNA from 1 species